GAUGAACGCUGGCGGCGUGCCUAAUACAUGCAAGUCGAGCGAACAGACGAGAGUGCUUGCACUCUCUGACGUUAGCGGCGGACGGGUGAGUAACACGUGGGUAACCUACCUAUAAGACUGGGAUAACUUCGGGAAACCGGAGCUAAUACCGGAUAAUAUUUAGCUUCGCAUGAAGCAAUAGUGAAAGACGGUUCUGCUGUCACUUAUAGAUGGACCCGCGGUGUAUUAGCUAGUUGGUGAGGUAACGGCUCACCAAGGCAACGAUACAUAGCCGACCUGAGAGGGGGAGGGGCAACACUGGAAAUGAGACCGGGCCCAGACUCCGGCGGGAGGAAGAAGUGGGGACUACGCGACAAGGGAGGAAGGUCGGAGGGAGAAAGGCCGCGUGAGUGAAGAAGGUUUUCGGAUCGAAAAACUGUGUUAAAGGGGAAAAAAAAGUAUGUGAUAAACGAAACGUACCUGGACGUUACCUAAAAAAAAAGCCACGGCUAACUCCGUC
rnacentral:rRNA from 1 species